UACGUAGGUGACAAGCGUUGUCCGGAAUUACUGGGCGUAAAGCGCGCGCAGGCGGUCCUUCAAGUCAGAGGUGAAAGCCCAGAGCUCAACUCUGGAAUGGCCUUUGAGACUAGAGGACUUGGGUACGGGAGAGGUGAGUGGAAUUCCGAGUGUAGAGGUGAAAUUCGUAGAUAUUCGGAAGAACACCAGUGGCGAAGGCGGCUCACUGGCCCGUUACCGACGCUCAGGCGCGACAGCGUGGGGAGCAAACAGG
rnacentral:rRNA from 1 species